rnacentral:rRNA from 1 species
GACGAACGCUGGCGGCGUGCUUAACACAUGCAAGUCGAACGGGUCUGCCCUGUUUUUUGCGGGGUGGGUCAGUGGCGAACGGGUGAGUAACACGUGAGUAACCUGCCCCUCACUUCUGGAUAACCGCUUGAAAGGGUGGCUAAUACGGGGUGUUCUGGCUGUGCCGCAUGGUGUGGCUGGGAAAGAUUCACUUUUGUGGUGUUUUGGUGGGGGAUGGGCUCGCGGCCUAUCAGCUUGUUGGUGGGGUGAUGGCCUGCCAAGGCUUUGACGGGUAGCCGGCCUGGGAGGGUGGGCGGUCACACUGGGACUGAGGUACGGCCCAGACUCCUGCGGGAGGCAGCAGUGGGGGGUAUUGCACAAUGGGCGGAAGCCUGAUGCAGCGACGUCGCGUGAGGGAUGGAGGCCUUCGGGUUGUGAACCUCUUUCGCCGGUGAAGAAGGUCCUGCUCUUUGUGGUGGGGUUGACGGUAGCCGGGUUAUGAAGCGCCGGCUAACUACGUG